rnacentral:rRNA from 1 species
CCUACGGGAGGCAGCAGUGAGGAAUAUUGGUCAAUGGCCGGAAGCCUGAACCAGCCAAGCCGCGUGAAGGACGAAGGCGCUAAGCAUUGUAAACUUCUUUUGUCAAGGCACAAAAUGAGGCACGAGAGCCUGAAUGAGGGUACUUUAAGAAAAAGCAUCGGCUAACUCCGUGCCAGCAGCCGCGGUAAUACGGAGGAUGCGAGCGUUAUCCGGAUUUAUUGGGGUUAAAGGGAGCGUAGGGGGACUGUUAAGUCAGCGGUAAAAGCCCGGGGCUCAACCGCGGCGUGCCGUUGAAACUGGCUGUCUUGAGUAGUGGAGAGGUAGACGGAAUUCGCAGUGUAGCGGUGAAAUGCUUAGAUAUUACGAAGAACUCCGAUUGCGAAGGCAGCAUACCGGCGGGGAACUGACGCUGAGGCACGAAAGCGUGGGUAUCAAACAGGAUUAGAUACCCUGGUAGUC